AUUGAACGCUGGCGGCAUGCCUUACACAUGCAAGUCGAACGGUAACGCGGGGCAACCUGGCGACGAGUGGCGAACGGGUGAGUAAUGCAUCGGAACGUGCCCAGUAGUGGGGGAUAGCCCGGCGUAAGCCGGAUUAAUACCGCAUACGACCUACGGGUGAAAGCGGGGGACCGUAAGGCCUCGCGCUAUUGGAGCGGCCGAUGUCAGAUUAGGUUGUUGGUGGGGUAAAGGCCUACCAAGCCGACGAUCUGUAGCUGGUCUGAGAGGACGACCAGCCACACUGGGACUGGGACACGGCCCAGACUCCUACGGGAGGCAGCAGUGGGGAAUUUUGGACAAUGGGGGCAACCCUGAUCCAGCCAUGCCGCGUGCGGGAAGAAGGCCUUCGGGUUGUAAACCGCUUUUGUCAGGGAAGAAAAGCUCUGAGCUAAUACCUCGGGGUAAUGACGGUACCUGAAGAAUAAGCACCGGCUAACUACGUGCCAGCAGCCGCCGUAAAAC
rnacentral:rRNA from 1 species